rnacentral:rRNA from 1 species
AGUGAACGCUGGCGGUAGGCCUAACACAUGCAAGUCGAACGGCAGCACAGAGGAGCUUGCUCCUUGGGUGGCGAGUGGCGGACGGGUGAGGGAUACAUCGGAAUCUACUCUGUCGUGGGGAUAACGUAGGGAAACUUACGCUAAUACCGCAUACGACCUACGGGUGAAAGCAGGGGAUCUUCGGACCUUGCGCGAUUGAAUGAGCCGAUGUCGGAUUAGCUAGUUGGCGGGGUAAAGGCCCACCAAGGGGACGAUCCGUAGCUGGUCUGAGAGGAUGAUCAGCCACACUGGAACUGAGACACGGUCCAGACUCCUACGGUAGGCAGCAGUGGGGAAUAUUGGACAAGGGGCGCAAGCCUGAUCCAGCCAUACCGCGUGGGUGAAGAAGGCCUUCGGGUUGUAAAGCCCUUUUGUUGGGAAAGAAGUCCAUCUGGUUAAUACCCGGGUGGGAUGACGGUACCCAAAGAAUAAGCACCGGCUAACUUCGUGCCAGCAGCCGCGGUAA